rnacentral:rRNA from 1 species
GAGAGAGAGACAUGCGCGCAUAUCAAUAAGCGGAGGAAAAGAAACUAACAAGGAUUCCCUUAGUAACGGCGAGUGAAGCGGGAAGAGCUCAAAUUUGAAAUCUUCAAGGUUUUACCUUGACGAAUUGUAGUUUAAAGAAGUGUUUUCUGCUGAAGUUUUGGUAAAAGUUCUUUGGAAUAGGACAUCAUAGAGGGUGAGAAUCCCGUAUUUGACCAUUAUUUUCAGCUUUGUGAUACACUUUCAAAGAGUCGGAUUGUUUGGGAAUGCAGUCCAAAAUGGGUGGUAAAUUUCAUCUAAAGCUAAAUAUUGGCGAGAGACCGAUAGCGAACAAGUACCGUGAGGGAAAGAUGAAAAGAACUUUGAAAAGAGAGUUAAACAGUACGUGAAAUUGUCAAAAGGGAAGCGUUUGACACCAGUGUUGUUUUCUCGAAAAUCAAUUAAAAAUGGCUCGAUUUUGUAUUGCUGAGACCUAAAAGCUCACUGUACAUUUUUCGUGUCUUUUUUAAUGCACUUUUCGUUUAACAAGUCAACAUCAGUUUCUUUUGUUGUAAAAGGGUCAUUGGAAGGUGGCUUUCUUUUCGGAGAAAGUGUUUAUAGCCUUUGGCCUCUGCAAUCGGGGAGACUGAGGUCUGCAGCGUAGACUCUUCGGGGUUAGAUACAUUUGUGCUAAGUUAUAGCUUUUUAUAGACAACUUGUUGACUAUAAUUAGUCUUGUAGCUUACUCGCUUAUGCUAUUUUACCUACGCUUAGGAUGUUGAAGAUGUAGCACAUCAU